rnacentral:rRNA from 1 species
UACGAAGGGGGCGAGCGUUGUUCGGAUUUACUGGGCGUAAAGGGCGCGCAGGCGGCGCAUUUUGUCAGGCGUGAAAUCCCUCGGCUUAACCGGGGAACUGCGUCUGAUACUGGAUGGCUUGAGUUCGGGAGAGGGAUGCGGAAUUCCAGGUGUAGCGGUGAAAUGCGUAGAUAUCUGGAGGAACACCGGUGGCGAAGGCGGCAUCCUGGACCGACACUGACGCUGAGGAGCGAAAGCCAGGGGAGCAAACGGG